UGACACAGAGUGCCACACCUAAUAGAAGAUGAGGCAGCUUCUGGCUGGCCAGGAAACAAAUUGUGACUUCAGUCAAGGGGUGGAGGAAGGAAGGGUCCUUCUCUAGCCCAACACAACAGCCCCUGCCCCCUCCAUGGAAUGUGGAGCUAGCUAGGCUUGUCCCAGAGGCCUCUGGAUGCUUUGCCUUCCCUGUUGGGUGUCCCUUUCCUCUGAAAUCAACCUCUUCAGCAUCAGAAGGUCCUAAAAGGCUUUGGGGGUGCAGCGGCUACGUCAACCCGAGUGGCUGUGCUUACGGCAGCAAAAGCAGGACUGGGCUUGCUACGAGGAGGAAAAUGUCAGCAUCAGAGAUGGCGAUCCCUAGACAAGAUCUGGCUUGGAUCCCACUUGGCUGGUAGACAAGCAAUGGCAAUAGAGGCGAAAUGAAAAAUGGAUAAUUAGCAGCCAAGCAAACAGCUGCCAGUGCUAUAGUAUAGCUGAUGUCUAACUCUACAAACUUCCUAUGAUUGUUUUUCUGGUUCUUGACCUGAGAAGAUUCGUAAUUUGGGCUUGUAAUAUUUCUCUGGCAUAGCAGAUCUGACUUUAGCCUUACCUUCCAAGUUCCUAAUUCUCUCCCUCCCUCUCCACUCCCCUCCUUGAGAAGGCAAGAAAUUUGAUAUAGAUUAUACAUGUGUGGUCAUGCAGAACAUUUCCAUAUUAGUCAUCGCAAAAGAAAAGGCAAACCAUAAAACCCCAAGGAAAAUAAAGAAAAUAAAAAAAUAAGCUUCAAUCUGUAUUCAGACGCCAUCAGUUCUUUCUUUGGAAGUGGAGAGCAUUUUUUGCCAUAAGCUUUGGAAUUGUCUUAGAUUGUUGUAUUGCUGAGAAUAGCUAAGUCAUUCACAGCUGAUCAUUGUAAAAUAUUGCUGUCACUGUUUAUGAUAUUCCCCUGGUUCUAUUCAUUCCACUUUGCCUCAGUUCAUGUAAUCUUCCCAGGCUUUUCUGAAAGCACCCUGCUCAUUAUUUCUUACAGCACAAUAGUAUUCCAUCCUAAUCAUAUUCUACAACUUGUUCAUCUCUUCCCCAAGUGAUGGACAUCCUCUCAUAUUCCAAUUCUUUGCUAACAAAAAAGAGCUGCUAUAAAUAUUUUUGUACAUGUAGUCCUUUUCCUUUUUCUUUGAUCUCUUUGAAAUACACAUGUAAUAGUGGUAUUGCUGGGUCACAGGGUAUAUACACAGUCUUAUAGCUCUUCAAGUAUAGUUCCAAAUUGUUCUCCAGGUGGCUGAUAUGACAGUAAGGGAAAUUAAUAAAUGUUGGAGGGGAUGUGGCAAAAUUGGGACACUAAUGCAUUGCUGGUGGAGUUGUUAAUUGAUCCAACCUUUCUAGAAGGCGAUUUGGAAUUAUGUCCAAUGGUGGCCAAAAAUUGGAAAAUGAGAGGGCGUCCCUCGAUUGGGGAAUUGCUGAAAAAAUUGUGGAAUGUGAUGGUGAUGGAAUAUUAUUGUGCUAUAAGGAAUGAUGAACUGGAUUAUUUCUUUAAGAACUGGAAAGUCCUCCAUGAACUGAUGUGGAGUGAAAUGAGCAAAACCAGGAAAACAUUGUACACAGAGACUGAAACAUUGUGGGACAAUGAAAUGAAAUAGACUUUGCUACUAAUGAUCCAGGAUAAUUCUGAAGGACUUAUGAGAAAGAACGCUAUCCACACCAAGAGAAAAAACUGCAAGAGUAGAAAUACAGAAGAAAACAUAUCAUUUAUCACUUUUUUAUGUGGAUAUAUGAUUUGAGUUUUGGUUUUAAAAGAUUCUUAUAAAAAUGAAUAAUAUGGAAAUGGGAUUUAAGUGAUAAAAUAUGUAUAACCCAGUGAAAUUGCUUGUCAACUCUGGGAGGGGGGAGGGAAGAGGGGAGAGAGAGAACAUGAGUCAUGUAACCAUGGGAAAAAAUUUUUUUUAAUUGCUCUCCAGAAUGGUUGGAUAUGUUCAUAAUACAUUGGUGUCCCUAUAUCUACACAUCCCCUUUGAUGUUUGUAAUUUCCCUUUUCUGUCAUAUUAACCAAUCUGAUAGCUAUGAGGUGGUAAUUCAGAGUUGUUUUAAUUUAAUCAAGAGGGAUUUAGAACAUUUUUUCAUAUGACUAUGGGUAACUUUGCUUUCUUCUCUUGAAAACUGCCUGUUCAUAUUCUUUGACUUUUUACCAAUUGGGGAAUGACUUGUAUCCUUAUAAAUUUGACCCAGUUCUCUCUAUAUAUGAAAAAAUGAAGCUUUUAUCAGAAAACUUUCUGUAAAUUCUCCCCCCCUCUUCCCAGUUUCCUGCUUUCUUUCUAAUCUUGACAGCAUUGAUGUAAUGUUAUGUAAUAAAAAUUAUCCAUUUUACUUCCUCUAAUGCUCUCUAUUUCUUGUUUGGUGAUAAAUUCUUCCCUUAUCUAUAGAUCUUACAAACAAUAUUUAUUCCAUGCUUCCCUGAUUUGCUUAUGAUAGAACCCUUUAUAUUUAAAUCAUGUACCCAUUUUGACCUUUUCUCAGUAUAUGGUGUGAAAUGUUGAUUUGUACCUUGUUUCUGCCAAACUGCUUUCAAGUUUUCCCAGCAAUUUUUGUCAAAUAGUGAGUUCUUGUGCUGAAAUCUUGGAUCUUUGAGUUUAUCAAACACUAGAUUAAAAUGGUUAUCUACUACUGUGUAUUGUGUACCCAAUCUAUUUCUUAGCCAAUACCAGAUUUUUUUUUUAUUUCCACUUUGUAAUAGAGUUUGAGCUCUGGUAUAACUAAGCCACCUUCCUUUACAUUUUCCCCACAUUGACUCCCUUGAUAUUCUUGAUUUUUUGUUCUUCUAGAUAAAUUUUAUUACAAUUUUACUAGCUCUAUAGAAUAGUUUUUUGGAAAUUUGAUUGGUAUGGCACAGAAUAGAAUUGUCAUUUUUAUUAUAUUGACUUGACCAACCAUGAGCAAUUAGUAUCUCUCUAGUGUAGAUCAGACUUUAUUUGGAUGAAAAGUGUUUUGUAAUUGUGUCCAUAUAGUGCCUGGAUUUUUCUUGUCAGGUAGACUCCUGAGUAUUUUAUAUUGUCUUUAGUUAUUAUAAAUGGAAUUUCUUUUUCUAUCUCUUCUUGUUGGACUUUGUUGGCAAUAUUUAGAAAUGCUAAUGAUUUAUGUGAAGUUUAUUUUGUACCCUGCAACUUUGCUGAAGUUGUUGAUUAUUUAUACUAAUCUUUUAGUUGAUUCUUUAGGAUUCUCUAAAUAUACCAUCAUAUUGUCUACUGAGGGAUAGUUUUAUUUCCUUAUUGUCUAUUCUAAUUCCUUCAAUGUCUUUUUCUUGUCUAAUUGCUAUAGCUAGCAUUUCUAGAACAAUACUGAAUAAUAGUAGUAUUGAUAGGCACCCUUGCUUCACCCCUGAUCUUAUUGGAAAGGCCUCUAGUUUAUUGCCAUUACAGAUAAUGCUUGCUGAUAGUUUUGGGUAAUUACUAUCUAUUGUUAAAGGAAAGUUUCAUUUAUUCUUAUGCUUUCUAGUGUUUUUUAAAAAAGGGAUGAGUGUCAUAUUUUGUAAAAACCUUUUUCUGAAUAACCAACCAUAUGAUUUCUGUAGCUUUUGUUAUUGAGAUGGACAGUUAUGCUGAUAGUUUUCCUAAUAUUGAACUAGCCCUACAUUCCUGGUAUAAAUUUCACCUUGCCAUAGUGUGUAAUCUUUGUGUUAUAUUGUUGUAAUCUCCUUGCUAGCAUUUUAUUUAAAAAUUUUGCAUUAAUAUUCAUUAGGGAAAUUGGUCUUGAGUUUUUUUUUCUUUUUUUUCUCUUCCUUGUUUAGAUAUUAGCACCAUAUUUUAUUCAAUAAAAGGAAUUUGGUAGGAUUCUUUCUUUGCCUAUUUUUUCAAAUAGUUUACAUACUAUUAGAAUUAAUCAUCCUUUAAAUAUUUGAUAGAGUUCACUUGUGAAUCCAUCUGGUUCAGGGGAUUUUUCUUCAGGGAGCUCAUUCAUGGUUUGUUUAAUUUCUUUUUAUAAGAUAGGGUCAAGUGUUCUAAUUCCUCUUCUAUUAAUCUGGGCAAUUUAUAUAUUUCUAAAUAUUCACCCAUUUAAUUUAGAUUGUCAGAUUUAUUGGCAUAUAGUUGAGCAAGAUAGCUCCUAUUAAAUGCUUUAGUUUCAUUUUCUUUGGUUGUGAAUUUACCCUUUUCAUUUUUGAUACUGAUAAUUU